GUGAGGAAUUUUGCGCAAUGGGGGAAACCCUGACGCAGCAACGCCGCGUGAGUGAUGAAGGCUUUCGGGUCGUAAAGCUCUGUCAAGUGGGAAGAACUCCCGUGAGGUUAAUAUCCUCAUGGUUUGACGGUACCACUGAAGGAAGCACCGGCUAACUCCGUGCCAGCAGCCGCGGUAAUACGGGGGGUGCAAGCGUUAUUCGGAUUUACUGGGCGUAAAGCGCGCGUAGGCGGCCGUUUAAGUCAGAUGUGAAAGCCCGGGGCUCAACCCCGGAAGUGCAUUUGAUACUAUUCGGCUUGAGUAUGGGAGAGGGAAGUGGAAUUCCUGGUGUAGAGGUGAAAUUCGUAGAUAUCAGGAGGAACACCGGUGGCGAAGGCGACUUCCUGGACCAAUACUGACGCUGAGGCGCGAAGGCGUGGGUAGCAAACAGGAUUAGAAACCCUAGUAGUCC
rnacentral:rRNA from 1 species